AUUAAGUAAAAUUUUCACACAAGUUGUCAAUUCAAUAAAAUUCAAUAUCAGACAACAUAUAAAUGUUGUCGGAUUAACAUAAGUAAAAUUUUCAUAAGUAUUGGUCAAUUUGAAAAUCCCUCCAAAAGUUGAGAAAAGAUAACCUUCAUAGCUAGACGACCUAUAAGUGUUGUCCGAAUGUAACUUUCAUUUUGACAAUUGAGACUAAAACAUACAUCUUUCUUCACCAACAUAUAUGUAUUGUCCCAAAAACAUACCUUUUUUCAAAGAAAAUUAGUAUUGUCUAAGUGUAUAUUCCACCGACACAAAAAAAAAAAAUGUGUCGCCUCGAACCAUACUUAAUUUUGUUUGUGUCGCUUGAUGGGUGUUGCCUGAUGUAGGAAAUGACAUAGUGUGUUGAUAUGGUUGUCUAGGGGCGGAGGAGAGGUGAAGAAUGGGGUUUGAGGGAGGACCGGGUAUUUUAAGUAGAAAAGGAUAACUUGAAAUUGCCCUAAAAUAUUUCAUGAAAAUUUUGAAAAUUUUGUUUGAAAUUGUUCCAAAUUUUUAGCGGAAAGGGAGACCGCCAAAAUUUUGGUUACUUAUGGAACAAGACUAACCUAUUUCGUCGCCCUGUUUUCUUUUAAGUCCUAGUAUUUAUGAGAAAUCACUCAUGUUUACAUGUUUAGUAAUUAGGAAAAUAGCCAUUAAUGGCACGUUUACUUGUCAGGAAUGGAAUUCAUAAGGAAUGGGAGAAAGAAUGAAUGGAAUAGUAUGUCAAGAGUUCAAUUACAUUAUACUGUUUACUUAUCAUAUAGAAUUAGAAUAUGAAUGGAAUUAAUUACGAUUGAUGUUGUUUACUUAUCAUAUAGAAUUAGAAUUAAAACUACUUCGAUUACUAAAUUACCCUUUAAAAAGUGUCUGCCAAGUAGUUUUUUUUUUUUGCUCGACAAAAAGUUAAACAUUUUGUUUAAAUCAAUAUAGGAUCAUAGAACAUCCAUUUUAUAAAAAAAAAACUACGUAUUAUGCCAAGUUGAUAAUGCAAAUUAGUUAUCCUUACUUUACACCAACAAACAAAAGAUGGUGGUCUUGGGGGGAAAGAUGGGGGCCUUGAGGUGAAAUUGGGAGAGGGAGAUGGGUGUGGCUCGGUGGUGUCUUCAAGAGAGAAUGAAGUGAGAUUUUUGGUCUCGGUGGUGUUCAGAGAGGAGAGAAUUGAAGAAUGGAUGAUUGAUUGAAGUGUAAAAGAAGAAUGUGUCAAAAGCUUGCAUGUCACAGACUAUAUAAACAUGUAACGAGAAAGGAACAAGGGUCUCUUUAAGGAGGCUCAUAUGGCUUUAAACAAAAUUGCACUUUUCAUAUCUGUUACCAGAAAAUCCAGUUUUGACCGGUUCAAUUAAGGUUUAGAUACCAAAGAAACCUAGCUAGCUAGAUAUCGUUAUGCAGAAGAGGAAGUAAGAAUACAUACAUACCAUACAAUGACCAUCUACAAUCCAACGACUCUAGAAGCUAUGUAGCUGCUAUACCAAUUCGUGGAUAUGGGGAAAACGUUUGCAUACUCGAUCAAAAAGUUAAUUCAGAUUUUAACCCUCCAAAUCUCAAUCAAAACCCCCGACGAACCCCUCCAUAUCACUCUCAAAAGACAAAUAGAUAUCAACAACGAUCAUGUCAAGUUGAUAAAGUAAAGAAAAUAAUAAAAAAUGAGAAGAUCACUGGAAAAGAGAGGACAAAGAGAGUGACUAACCAACAGCACAGUCGCAUGAUUCGUUUUUGUCGUUGUUCGGCUGCUUCUGAUAAUGAAAAAAUAUGGCACUUUCUGAUAAGAAAUAUAUUAGGGUUGGGUAAUUUGGGGUUAUUGAAAUUAUGUGAGGAUAAUUUGGGAACAAAAAGUUAAUUUCUGAUGGUGUCAUUCCUAAACCCACCUCCUCCCUUGGUAUUACAAAUCAAGGUUAACAAGGAAUCAAUUCCGGGUUGGGAGGUGGGACCCAUAACAAUUCCUAUUCCACCAUGAACAAGUAAACACAAGAAUUUCUUCAUCCCGUAAUCAUUCCCCUAUAUUUGUAUUCCAUUCCUAACAAGUAAACGUACCAUAAAACUGAAUAGGAAUGGAAAGAAUAAGGGUGGAAUAAUCAUUUGAAAUCACUCAUAAUUAAUUAAGGGCCAAUUACAUAUAAGUCCAUUUUGAGACAUUUUUUCCCACAUAGAUCCACCCCAACAUUUUUACCCACAUAAGUCCACCCAAGUCUAAAUAAGGUUUUGUAUUAAGUAUUGAAGUUCAACAUAAUUACAGACUGCCAUCCAACAAAAAAAAUUAGAUUUUCUCCCUUAUAUUUACAAGAAUGCCACUAAUAUAAAAAGUCAACAACCACUCAUUUCGGAACAGUCUCCGGCGGACCUCCGGCGAGGUUUCCGGUGGACCUCCGGGGAGGUUUCCGGCCGACCUCCGGCGUGGUUUCCGGCCGACCUUCGGCGAGAUUUCCGACCGACCUCCAACGAUGACAAAAAUUACUACUACCAGCUAUAAAAGCUACUACCACCAGCUACAAAAGCUACUACCACCGCCUACAAAAGAUACUACUGUGAGGUUUCCGAUGAACACAAAAGCUACUACCACCAGCCACAAAAACUACUACCACAAGCUACAAAAGCUACUACCACCGCCUACAAAAGCUACUACUGUGAGGUUUCCGACGAACACAAAAACUACUACCACCAGCUACAAAAGCUACUACUACUGCCUACAAAAGCUACUACUACCGCCUACAAAAGCUACUACUGUGAGGUUUUCGACGAACACAAAAACUACUACCACCAGCCACAAAAGCUACUACCACCAGCUACAAAAGUUACUAUCACCGCCUAUAAAAGCUACUAUUGUGAGGUUUCCGACGAACACAAAAAAUACUACAAUCAGCCACAAAAGCUACUACCACCGCCUACAAAAGCUACUACCGAGAUAAACAAAAGCUACCACCAAUAUAAACAAAAGCUACUACCCCUAUAUACAAAAGCUACCGCCACAACAAAAGUUAUUACCGACAUAAACAAAAGCUACUACCCCUAUAUACAAAAACUACUACUGCCAGACAUAAAAGCUAUUGCCUCCAUCAAUAUAAGCUACUACCGUUACCAACAAAAAAUACUACUCUAACUAACAAAAGCUACUGCUUUCACUGACAAAAACUACUACAAGAUAUUUACUACUGUUUGAACUCUCACAAUCUUCACCUCCACUUGAUUUCCUGCAAUUCGAAUCAAAAUCACGAUCCGUCAACACAUAUGCAAAUCACACUCACAUAUCUCGCGUUCGGAUUUACAGAAUCGUAGNN
rnacentral:lncRNA from 1 species